rnacentral:lncRNA from 1 species
AAAGGGAGAAGGCAUGCUAUAAAGGAGAGACCUCCUAGUUUCAUGGACAGAAGAUCACAAGAUAAGUCUGAAAAAACAGAGGCAAUUCUUUAAGUUUAUCAUUUAUGUCUUUUUCCAAGUCACCAACGAAAAUGCUAAAUAGCCCAAGACCAUGCACAGAUCCCUGGAACAUUUUCCUAGAGACAUUCUUCCAAGAGGAGAGGGCCAUUUCAUCUUGAUUUUUCAGAGCUGUAACUAUGCAACUGGAUGACUGGGAAAGCUUCACAAAAAGCAGCAUAAAACAUGCCCUAUGAACAUCUUUUUAAUGAUAACUUCAGUGGAGAAAAGAGAGAGAGAUCCUGGAACAUCAGGAGGCUGCUGCUAUUUUAAUUCAUUAUUACAAUGAAAAAGAGAUUUCUCCCUGGAAUCAGAGGACCAAGGUGCAAAUUCUGCCUCUUCUACUUAAAAAACAAUUCACAAUCUCCACA